UACGGGAGGCAGCAGUGGGGAAUAUUGCACAAUGGGCGAAAGCCUGAUGCAGCUAUGCCGCGUGUAUGAAGAAGGCCUUAGGGUUGUAAAGUACUUUCAUCGGGGAGGAAAAACAAAACUAAUAAUUUUAUUUCUUGACGUUACCCGAAAAAGAAGCACCGGCUAACUCCGUGCCAGCAGCCGCGGUAAUACGGAGGGUGCUAGCGUUAAUCAGAAUUACUGGGCGUAAAGAGCACGUAGGUGGUUUUUUAAAGUCAGAUGUGAAAUCCCUGGGCUUAACCUGGAACUGCAUUUUGAAACUGAAAUACUAGAGUAUCGUAGAGGGAGGUAGAAUUCUAGGUGUAGCGGUGAAAUGCGUAGAUAUCUGGAGGAAUACCUGUGGCGAAAGCGGCCUCCUAAACGAAUACUGACACUGAGGUGCGAAAGCGUGGGGAGCAAACAGGGAUUAGAUACC
rnacentral:rRNA from 1 species